rnacentral:rRNA from 1 species
UCUUGGUCAUUUUAGAGGAAGUAAAAGUCGUCAAGGUUUCCGUAGGUGAACCUGCGGAAGGAUCAUUAUCGAAUUUCGAGGGGGGGAAGAUGGGGGGAAGGCGAGACUGUCGCUGGCUUCCGUUCGCUCGGAAAGCAUGUGCACGUCUACCUUUUCUCGUCGUCCUUUUCUCUUACUCUCACGCCUGUGCACACGUUGUAGGUCCUCGAAAGAGGAUCUAUGUCUUUAUCAUCACACACAUCGUAUGUCUAGAAUGUAUCGAGAUCGUUGACCGACCUUCACCGGUCGGCCGGCGGUCUAAAAAAACAAAUACAACUUUCAGCAACGGAUCUCUUGGCUCUCGCAUCGAUGAAGAACGCAGCGAAUUGCGAUAAGUAAUGUGAAUUGCAGAUUUUCAGUGAAUCAUCGAAUCUUUGAACGCACCUUGCGCUCCUUGGUAUUCCGAGGAGCAUGCCUGUUUGAGUGUCAUGUAAUUCUCAACCAUGUCUCGAUUCGUUUCGAGGCAUGGCUUGGACUUGGGGGUUGCUGGCGGCGCAAGCCGUCGGCUCUCCUGAAAUGUAUUAGCGAUGGACAAGCAAGUCUGACGUGCACGGCCUCGACGUGAUAAUGAUCGUCGUCGCUGGAGCGUCGGACGAGCGUGAAUACGUCCCUUUGCUUCCAAUCCAUUUCGACUUGGGACUUGGACUUUCGAGCGACGCUUUAGCUACUAGUCGGUCGCAAGACCGACGAACGCGCGCUGGCUCUCGGAGGUCGGAAAGGUCGCCGUGGUCGUUCUUUCAUGACUUGACCUCAAAUCAGGUAGGACUACCCGCUGAACUUAAGCAUAUCAAUAAGCGGAGGA